GAUUAAGGAACUUCUGCUUAAAUCGCCCACGUCAUGUGGGCAACGCAGAAGUCACCAUAUCCUGUGAA
rnacentral:sRNA from 1 species